UGCGCCGUCAUUGGGGAGUAGCCGGUUUCUGGACAAUAAAACGCCAGAAACGCCCGUAUCAACAUACUCGUUUUAUACAUUAAAACGUGGUGCGGGCAGCCAGGUAAGGUUGGCGAGACCAUAGACACGUAA
rnacentral:sRNA from 1 species